rnacentral:rRNA from 1 species
UAACACGUAGAUAAUCUAUCCUAUACUGGGGGAUAGCCCGAUGAAAGUUGGAUUAAUACCGCAUAUAGCUAUAUAGUUGCAUGAUUAUGUAGUGAAAGAUUUAUUGGUAUAGGAGGAGUCUGCGGCACAUUAGCUAGUAGGUGAGGUAAAGGCUUACCUAGGCGACGAUGUGUAGCCGGUCUGAGAGGAUGAACGGCCACAAUGGAACUGAGACACGGUCCAUACUCCUACGGGAGGCAGCAGUGGGGAAUAUUGCACAAUGGGGGAAACCCUGAUGCAGCAACGCCGCGUGAGUGAAGAAGGUUUUCGGAUUGUAAAGCUCUGUUAGCAGGGAAGAGGAAGGACGGUACCUGCAGAGGAAGCCACGGCUAACUACGAGCCAGCAGCCGCGGUAAUACGUAGGUGGCAAGCGUUGUUCGGAAUAACUGGGCGUAAAGGAUGCGUAGGCGGUUAAACAAGUUAUAUGUUAAAUAUAUAGGCUUAACCUGUAGAAAGCAUAUAAAACUGUUUAACUAGA